GACGAACGCUGGCGGCGUGCUUAACACAUGCAAGUCGAACGGAAAGGCCCUGCUUUUGUGGGGUGCUCGAGUGGCGAACGGGUGAGUGACACGUGAGUAACCUGCCCUUGACUUUGGGAUAACUUCAGGAAACUGGGGCUAAUACCGGAUAGGAGCUCCUGCUGCAUGGUGGGGGUUGGAAAGUUUCGGCGGUUGUGGAUGGACUCGCAGCUUAUCAGCUUGUUGGUGGGGUAGUGGCUUACCAAGGCUUUGACGGGUAGCCGGCCUGAGAGGGUGACCGGCCACAUUGGGACUGAGAUACGGCCCAGACUCCUACGGGAGGCAGCAGUGGGGAAUAUUGCACAAUGGGCGGAAGCCUGAUGCAGCAACGCCGCGUGCGGGAUGACGGCCUUCGGGUUGUAAACCGCUUUCGCCUGUGACGAAGCGUGAGUGACGGUAAUGGGUAAAGAAGCACCGGCUAACUACGUG
rnacentral:rRNA from 1 species